rnacentral:lncRNA from 1 species
ACAGAGGAGACAAGCCCUGGAUUCCCAGGUCUUCAUAUCCAGUGAUCAGCACUGCACAGACCAAGUACCAUGUACUUCAGCAUCAGCUUGGUUUUCCUUGUGCUCAUUUUAAAAAGUGUCCAGUGUGCGGUACAGCUGGUGGAGUCUGGAGGAGGCUUAGUGCAGCCUGGAAAGUCCCUGAAACUCUCCUGUUCAGCCUCUGGAUUCACAUUCAGUAGCUAUGGCAUGCACUGGAUUCGCCAAGCUCCAGGAAAGGGGCUAGAUUGGGUUGCAUACAUUAGUAGUAGCAGCGGUACGGUCUAUGCAGACGCUGUGAAGGAACGGUUCACCAUCUCCAGAGACAAUGCAAAGAACACCCUGUACCUGCAACUCAACAGUCUGAAGUCUGAAGACACUGCCAUCUAUUACUGUGCAAGAAGC